AACGGCAGCACGGAGCUUGCUCUGGUGGCGAGUGGCGAACGGGUGAGUAAUAUAUCGGAACGUACCAUAGAGUGGGGGAUAACGUAGCGAAAGUUACGCUAAAUACCGCAUACGAUCUAAGGAUGAAAGUGGGGGAUUCGCAAGAACCCCAUGCUCGUGGAGCGGCCGAUAUCUGAUUAGCUAGUUCGGUAGGGUAAAAGCCUACCAAGGCAUCGAUCAGUAGCUGGUCUGAGAGGACGACCA
rnacentral:rRNA from 1 species